GUGCUUGCUUCGGCAGCACAUAUACUAAAAUUGGAACGAUACAGAGAAGAUUAGCAUGGCCUCUGCGCAAAGAUGACACACAAAUUCAUGAAGCGUUCCAUAUUUUU
rnacentral:snRNA from 1 species